AUCUUCAAGAACUGCUUUUGGAUCAAGUAUUCGCUUCUCCUUGCUUCUUUCUCGCGUUAUUCCUCUUGAGUUUUGUUACCUUUCGGCUGGAAAUGGACCACUUGCCGCUGGUGUGGCAGUGGUUGGAGCAUGACCAUGUUGAUGAUGAGCUGUCACUGGCCCAUUCCAAGAGGUUUUCUGGAUAGAAAUUCCUUUUCAGGGAGAUUAGAGGGACGGAACCUUUUGACGUAUUCUUUAUGACAGGAGGGUUUCAUGCCUAUAAUCCCAGCACUUGGAAGACGGAGAUAAAAGGGUCGCCGUGAGUUUGAGGACAGCCUGCACUACAGAAAACUACUUCCCCAGAACGGAGGUGUGUGAAAUGUCUUUGUCCCCCUAGGAAGUGUGGGAGUCACCACUGAGCCUUGUCAGGCCAGGUGGGAAGCUGAGACCGAUGAAGUGGUCCUGCAGCGGUGGCAGAAGCAGAUAGAUUAUGGCAAGUGCAUACCUGGGUACCAGAGCUUUCUGCAGCAGGUCCCCAGGGCACAGCGACAGCCGGGUUUUCACCCUCAAACACCAAACAAAAACAGGAGAUACAGUCGCAGAUCCUGAGAUGCCCAAAUCAGGCAAUGGAGAAGAGCCCUGCAUACCUGGGACCCCCCAAGCCAGCCUCUCCAUGACAGACAGGCUGAGGGGUGUGUUCACUAAUCUGGCUCCUAUGAGUGGAAAGCAACAAAGAACUUCCUAAGGACAUUGGGUUCUACUCCUUUAGAUGAUCUCCUGGUAGCUGGCCCCAGGGCUCAGAAUCCUCAGAGAAUUGGGACAGAGUUUGCAUACUUGAAGCUUCCUGCUUCCUCCCCGGCCCAGCUCAAAGAUGAAGUUCUCUAUCACUAAGUCUACCUGUUUCCCUAUCCCAGAUGAGGGGGCUUCAAAACACUUAGAGUAAACCCUUGACUUUUAGGGAUUUGCUGCUACAACUGUAAUAAUGAAAUGACUGGAAUUACCACUUUCUAUCCGACUAAAGAAAGGAAUCUGAAACUCUGCCCUACAGUGAUCUGAGCAUGAGAGCAUUUAUUGAAAAAAAUUUUUCCCAUCUGAGACCUCCAAUUUACAGAAGAGCCAGAAGCCUCUAUGGGCUUUCUUCCCUACUGACAUCAACACCCAGCCUAUUGAAAAAAAACUUAAAACUUUGGUUGAGGUGGGAGGUGGUGAUAAUGGUACAGACUUAAUAAAAAUGUGGUUUCCA
rnacentral:lncRNA from 1 species